GAACCAUGGAUAUAGGUUUUCCAAACUUGGGAUUCAAAAGAUUUGAUCCAAUGGCAACUUCAGCUACCUGGUUGAGCACCUAGAUCAUUCCCUUUGUCAAUUUGCCUACUAAUGUUGCCAAUUCUUCCAUGCAUCCUUUAGCAGCUAAGUUCUUCAAAGGUAAUACAAUAAAGAAAUUGCAAGGGUUUUUGAAUGGUCAAACGACAUCAGUAAUAGAUCCGUAUGAACGUAUGAAACUCGUUGUCACUAAUCUGUACUCCAUGAGUUCAUGUAUUUUUAUCAAUUUUGAAAUAUCAAAUAUAUAGUACAAAGAUGUUAUUUAUUUCCGAUGUUCAAAUUAAUUGGACUGAUUCUCACCUCUGUAUUAAUUGGACUGAAGAAGGAUCAGUAACAGGUUUUGCAAACCGAGUGACCACAGUAAAAUCUGGAUUUCCUAGGAACCAAAUCCUUCUUCCU
rnacentral:lncRNA from 1 species